CUGAUGAAAUAGGUAACAGCAGAAAGGCAAGUCAAGCUAGAAGGAGAAGAAAAAAGAUGUUUAAUCAAUAAAUUAAAAAAAAAAAGUUUUUUAUGUAGAGUAAUUUUUAUGUUCUUAAACAAUCAGGCCACAAUACAAAUGUGAUUGCUUUUAAAUCAGGUAGUGUCUGAUGCUGGAGACUUCUUCCACACUGAAGGAACAAUGGCAAUUCUUAAGGAACAGAACAGGAGCAUAAAGGGAGAGAGAAGCAUGUAGUAUUCCUUCUGCUGCAGAAGUUCAGCAGCCCAAAGAGAAACACACGAAUGGAUACAAAUUCAGAAAAUGAAGCCUUUCAUAAAGAUAAUGUGGCGCAUUCAAUGAUCUACAGAAAUGAGGGAAAUUGUAAGCAAUUUUCUCUGCCAGUUUGGCUUUCUUUUCAUCUCUCAGAAAUAUUUUAGAGAUAACUCACAUUACUGCCUUGAAGUUUAAAGAGGAAUGGAAAUGGAUGAGUUGGAUUGUCCUUUAUCCUGCCUUUCAUAUGGGGCAAUUGUGAGCUAAAUCAGGCCACGUGGCUAUAUCUUAUGCAGGUGUAAAUGAUUCAGCUGUCAUAGUUUAGUUGUCUGUUUUCAGAUGAGAUGAAUUGCAUUGCAGAAAUGCCAGUUUAUUCUUAUUGACUAUAAAGGGAGCCUUGGGUGACCAGCUCAGAUAAAAGGAAAACAUAACCAAAAAUGGGAGAGAGUAUCCGAGAAAGAGUGUAUGAGCAUGUAAUGAAAGAAUGCAUCAUCACUCUUACAGGCUCUGAAGCUAAAUGAAUAUUGCAUGCACCACUGCCAUCUCACAUUUAGUAAGUACUUAUCUUUCAGCCUUCCUGUUAUCUCAGGGUAACGCGCUAUAACAGUCUACCAAGAGGAUUCACAUCAUGGACAUGAACGCACUCACAUACGUUCUUCUCUCCACUAUUCCCUCAACAUGAAGAUGAAGUUUCUCAGGAGACAAAGAACUGUUCAACACUGUUAUGAAAUCGAGGACAGAAAUCCAACUGGGAUAAUGUGCAAAGCGUGUGGAAUUAAGGCAAGAAUCACAGAAUUGCAGGAAUUGGAAGAGACCUAAAGAGUCCAACCCCUGCUAAGGCAGGUUCCCUACAAUAGGUCACACAGCAGGAGAAUUCAUCUGAACCAUGAACAAAGCAGUCCAUACUGGAGUUCAGGAUUAUCUUUUUACUUCUUUCUUUGUGGACUGAAAGUAUGGAGAAGAUAAAACAAAAACAAAAACAAAAGAAACAAAAACAACCUGAAGAAGAGCCUUUGCGAAUAUAUGAUUUAUGGAAAAAAAAUGUGUAAUACGGAAUGUCAGCUCUUCUGGAGGUCUUUUGCCUUUUGGCACUCUCCAUUCAAAGGAGCACCCAAGAUUCCCAGUAUAAUCUGUGGUAUGCAUGUAUGUCUAUUUGUCAUAGCUGCUCCCAGUGGGAGUUUUAGUGCUGAAUGAAGUGUCAGUAAAGGUGCACUGCCAAUGACCAUAUUCAAACAUCCUUUCAUUAAUGCAACCUUACAGUGAUCUUAGCUCUGUCCAUGUUCCUAAGAAUUUAUUCAGAAUUACACCUUGUCUAUCUUUCCAUGAAGAUGAUGGUUGAUUAAAUGUCUGGAAAACCUUCUAAGUGUCUUUGUUUCUGUUCCACUGAAUAAGUGCUGCAACUGUUGUACGGACAGGAGAAAUAGAUAUGAAGAAGCCUUCACAACAAGGAAGGCAUUUGUGGUGUAGGUAUUUCUUUGUUUCCAAUCUGGAGCCCACUAAAUCAGCAAAGUCCCACCCAGCACUUGCUAGAAAGUGUUUUUUAGUCACUCCAGUCUGAGGUGUCUGGCACAUGUAUUUUGCUGCCCACUUUGCAUUUCUUUACUUUAGAACCUUGAAUUUGGAGUUACUUCCACAAAUGUACACCUUUAAUUUUUCACUUAAAGUAGGAUUUCAAAGAGAUUCUCUGAUUACAGCUAAAGUGGCAGUACAAGAAUACUCCUUAAUUCCUGAGUCUUGAUCCACAUCCUCACCGUGUCCAGUUCUGCAGGGCACUAUCUCCUCUCUCUCCCCAUCCCACUACAGCACGCUACUUUCCAUGAGCAGGAAGAAUCACUGAGCAGAAAAGGAUUGGAGGUAUCUUGUUAGCAGAAGCCUAAAUUCCCAGUCCAUGAACGUACACCUCCACUGCAUGACAUAGAAAUCUUUGCUCACAGUUCACAAAUACUUGCUCUGAGCCCAUCCAAGUUUGAUUGAUUGGUCAAUGUCCAUAAUAUUUAUUAUUAAUAUUAAUAUUAAACAAUGAGUUUUCUUCCAUUUAACAAAACUAAAUGGAUGGUGAUCAAAUGAAAUGAAAUAACUGGCUGAAAAUUUGGGAUGAACAGAGUUCCUUCAGCCAUCAGUUCUAGCAACCUGAUGUUCUUGCUCUCUCUUCAAUGUACUGAGACAAGAAUUUAGAGAUCAUUUCCAUUUAUCUUUCAUUUGUUCAUGUAGAAAAUAACAAACUAAAAAUUUGUAUCUGAGCAAUUUGUGAAAUGAGAAUUUUUCUAAUUCAGCAUAUGUGUCUCUUUUUAUCAUUUCAGUGGCUGAACAUCCAUACCAUCAAUGGAAAUGGAGACUAAGUCUUUAUCUGAGUCCAUAUCACAUCUAUGGGAGUUUUUCCAUUGACCUCAGUGGGUCAAAGGGAUCAAGUAUUUUAUUUUAUUUUAUUUUAUUUUAUUUUAUUUUAUUUUAUUUUAUUUUAUUAUUUUAUUUUUUUGUUAGAAUUUCUUUCCAUCAAGUUGGAGAAACAGGAUGUAAAUAUUGAGUCACCGUCCCCAUUGCUAACCAUGCACCAAGAUUAGCCAGUUGGACUUGGUGUGGGACUUACCUCCUAAGAGGUCAUGAUCCCCGUGACCGAGGAGCCCAUUCAGGUAGGGAUGAGUGAAUUUUUGCUUUGAAAUAUAUGUCAUCCAUCAGUAGAUACUACAAGCAAGACCGCAAGUUCCAGAAAUUUCAACACUUUCAAGUCAAGGUAAUAUCCAUUUGCUCUGCUGAAUUCAGAUCUUUAAUUUUAGAGCAGGCAGGACUUUGCAGCCUGGAAUACAUUAACACAGAGAAACAAUCAUUUAAUGUAGUAGCCAAGUAGUCAGGUCACUGACAAUUUACAGAGUAAAUACUUAGAAAUAGUCUCUAUCUUUAUUGGUGUUUAUAUUCAGAGAUAAUUAGUAACUUGUGCACAGACACAAAGUAAUUGAUGUAAUGAUUUAUUUUGAACUUGUUCUUCUCUUGCAAGAGCUGCUUACACAAGGGCAUACAUUAGCUGGUUUGUUGAAAAUAUUUAAUUUUGUAACUCUUUGCUGACCAAGUAUAAAGGCCUAGCACUAAUUGUACAUGUGGAGAAUUGACUUCAAAAUGCUGUGCAAUGAGAAGAGAAAACCUAGUGCAGAGAUGUCCAAAGUGAUGCUUGCUGUGAUACAAGGGGGUGUACUCUUCUCUCCUGUAAAUUACCAUCACCAGAGUGAGGAUCAUAAGAUGGGAGGUCACAAGAGGGAAAGUAGCCAUACUGCUACACAUCUUCAUCCUCUUCUUCUCCUUACAAACAAUGCACUCCCUUUCAGCUUAGUCCUUAUUUCUGCAAGAAAGUGCAUGAGUGCCGUGGAAUGGGGUGUGGGAAGAUCCUGUUCAAGGUUUUAUAUGGCAUAGUGGUUCAGGAAGCACUGCUAAUAUUGCAGGUAGCAACAGUGAGAAGCUAAGUGAUGUAUCAUGUUUUCUUUUCGAUUCAUGCUUGUGAUUCAGAGCUGGGAUCCAUCCUGGACUGCUGCUGGUUUGGGCUGUUGGUGAUAAAAUGCCAAAGUGCAGCUCGUUUUACAACUUACAUCUAUUGAAACUGCCAACAGAGCUCCACUGAUGGAGAGUCACACUCUUCCCAACAGCUUUUAGAGCUCAGUGAAACCAAAGCUGCGAAGAAGAUGUAAUAAAAGAAACUGAAGAGGAAGUGAAAGGGAAGAAGACUGUGUGAUUUUUGAGGAAGAAUCUACAUGCAGGUGAGGAUGGAGUCAAAGUGAGAGCACUGCACUGCAGCCAGUGAGCACAACAGCAAGUGCAGGGGAGUUGCUGCCUCAGUAUGUAGCAGGUAAAACAACGUUGCUCUGAAUGCUACUAUGCAGCAGGUAGUGAGCUCAGUACAUUUUUUGCGUGGAGCAAUUCAUCUAUACUUCAUGUAAAGCCACCCAAAAAUCCUCUGAUAAAUUAAAUUCAUAUAUAUUAAAUUCAUGCCAUCCAGAGGGAUCUGGACAGGCUUGAGAGAUAUGCCCAUGCCAACCUCAUGUAGCGCAGCAAGGCCAAAUGCAAGGUUCUGCAUCUGAGUUGGGGCAGUCCCAAGCACAGAAACAGGUUGGGUGGAGAGUGGCUUGAAAGCAGCCUUGAGGAAAAGGAUUUGGGGGUGUCAGUUGAUGAAAGGCUCAAUAUGAGCCAGCAAUGUGCGCUUGCAGCCCAGAAAGCCAACUGUAUCCUGGGUUGCAUCAAGAGAAGCGUGACCAGCAGGUCGAGGGAGGUGAUUCUGCCCCUCUACUCUGCUCUCAUGAGGCCCCACCUGGUGUACUGCCCCAGAACAAGAAGGACAUAGAGCUGCUGGAGCCAGUCCAGAGGAGGGCCAUGAAGGUGAUCAGAGGGCUGGAGCAAUUUCCCAAUGAGGAGAGGCUGAGAGAGCUGGGGCUCUUCAGCCUAGAGAAGAGAAGGAUCCAGGGAGACCUUAUAGAGGCCUUCCGGUACCUGAAAAGGGCCUACAGGAAAGUUGAAGAGCUACUUUUUAUAAUGGCAGGUAGCGACAGGAUGAGGGGAAAUGGCUUUAAAGUGGAAGAGGGUAGAUUUAGACUAGAUAUUAAGAAGAAAUUCUUUACUGUGAGGGUGGUGAGACACUGGAACAGGUUGCUCAGAGAGGCUGUGAAUGCCCCCUCCCUGUAAGCAUUCAAGGCCAGGCUGGAUGGGGCUUUAAGCAACCUGGCCUAGAGGGAGGUGUCCUUGCCUAUAGCAGGGAUCUUAAAGGUCCCUUCCAACUCAAACCAUUCUCUGAUACUAUAGUAUUACAGUGCCCAAGGUAUACCUGCUUGGCUGUCAGUAUGCACACUGGAUGUCAUGACUGGAUGCUAUUGGAAAGCAGACGGAGAGGAAAAUUUAAGCAGUAAGCAUACAAUUAAAUCUCCUCAUGCCUGGGAAGUCAUACAUGUGAAAAAGGGAAACACUGUCCUGGUCCAGAAGAGGUAGGUCUUCAGCAAAGAGCUUGAAACUGAAGGACACAACACAAAGUCUACAUGAAUAAGAUAUCAAGUGACUUAAGAGCUAAAGGUUUUCACUUAGUUUCAGUAACUUCAAAAUUUUAGAGUGUCAGUGGAAGAGCUAACAAGUACCUAGAGGCAGGAGGCAGGGAACACAAUAGUCUUGAAAUGGUCUAGGCAGAGCAGGAGACAAACAUGUGGAAGGACAAGGGAGCAGGGAAAGGGCAUUGCAAAGGGUCAUCAGUAUGAGUAGAAGCUUUCUCCAGUGUAAAACGGAGAGAAGAUUGAGGGAUGGAUUAUGUUUAGAUACAUGACUCAGACUGCUGAUUUUGAGCUCCGUUUCUGAACAAAUUGCCCCAGGACCUUCACCUGCUGCAGCCCAUGUCUGCACAGAGGUGCAUCUCCCCAGGCUGUACGCCACCUUCACCACCACUACCCUCCCUUCUCCCAAUAGGAGUCAGUCAAAAGCAGUGAUCAACAUGGAAAAGACUACAUAUUGAACUGUGAAAACAGUAAGAGAUGUAUGCAUUCCUCCUUGAUGCACGUAGCCUUUAACCUUCAGCCCAGAUUGCUGAGCCUACAUGUGCUGGGCAUGCUGGGAUCUAGGGAUGGAGGAGGAUGGCUAAGUUCAUCUCUUACUUUUGUGCCUAAGGUACACGAGGAAAUAACAAUAUGAAGGCAGAUCAAAGGUCCAUCUAGCUCAGCACCUUGGUAGGGGUUGGGAGAAAUUCCUUAGGGAAGAUCCUUGAGAAUGGGCAGUAUAGCAGCUGAGGCUCCACUUAGAACAGCCCGUUGGCUUCCAGCAACUGGCAACUUACAGCCUCACUGUCCCCAGGGUUGUGUCCAGACCACCAAGUUUAACAGCCAUUGCCUUACCUUCCCUGAAUCUGUCUAAUCCCUUCUUGGACCCAUUACUUCACAGCUCUGUAAUAGAUGCUCUCACAGACACCACUUGGCAGUGAUACACGUAUGGGAGAAACCAAGCAUGCCUGAGCUUGUUAAAGAAAAUAAAAAUACAAGACAGAGUGGACUUCCAGAGCCUUCCUUCCCUCCCAGCCCUCUUUUGAGGCCUUGGUUUCUCAGCUCCUCUGCCUACCAGGGGCUGCUUUCUGCCUCCUCUAGCUUCUUCUGCAGGCAGAAGCCCAGCCAGGAGGAUGGAAGCUGGAUGAAGCAUGCUGGUGACAACCAGCUGCUCAUCACAAGUUUUAAAAUGGCCCUGAUGCUGUAUUUCACACAAAGGCAGGUGGGCUGAGGAUGGUCCAGAUAAAUCAGGUCAUACAUCUGCUGUGGAAAGCAUGCCCCAAGGGCCAGAUGUGUUCCGCAGCACUUAUGUGCUCCACUCCUCCAAUCGCCCCAGGAGCAAGGCAACUGGGUCCCUUUAAAAUCUGCCCCUUUGGUGUUGCUACUACACCACUAAUGAUUUACCUCUGUUUAGCGCUGGCAGAAGCAGUGGCUUUGUUGACUUGGGUGUGCAGCUGGUUCCUGGACAUUCCUGGGGCAAAUCUCAUGAUUGCUGAUGCCAGUGAAAAGCUAUGCUGAGCCUGAUGGACCCACACAGCAGCAAUGGGAUCUGUCAACAGAGAUUGAUGUCAGCGUUAAAUCCAACUGUAGCUAAAGGGCAUCUUUGCUGGGUUGUGACAGUAGCAAAACCAUGUUGAAAGCCAGAUUUCAUCCAAUGCACUACGAGGGACACUUUAAAACAAGUUAAAGGGUUUUAUGACCUGAUUUGGCCUUAUUUGCUCUGAGCACUGCUGCCAUUGAGUACAGCACUAAUCUGGUUUGGUCACAGUAGAGUUCACAUUUUUAUGGGCUGAUGACAAAUUAGUAUGAGGCUCAUUUACUUUGCAUAGAACAAGCCAUCAGCUCCCAAGCUGCAUGGGCAACCAGUCCUGCUGAUGCCGAAUUACCUGCCUCUCCAAGAGCCAUUUACCUACAGCAGUCUUGCUUCAAAAUCACAAGUGACCUUCACUGAGUUUUUGAGUAUGUCCUUUGUUCUACACUCCUGGAAUCUCCUAGGGAUGUUUUGAAACUGCUGUUGGCUUCCUGGGGGAGUGGAAGCAGAUGGGUCAGUUCAGAUACAAAGAGGGCAAAGGAAUAUAAGAAUGCAUACACCCUGUGCUUCUAAAGCAUCACCUCUGGUCUGCCAUGUCACAGCUGGGACAUAAUUCUCAGGAUUUCACCUUCUUAUUCCCUCGGUCUGAUACAUUUCUUCAAGCCACCUCACAUGCAUUCUCUGGGCCUGGCCAUGUUUCACUAUGCUCGUCUUCCUCCAUCUCCCAUUAGCAAAUUCUAGCACAGUUUCACUCCACAGCUCUCAGAUUUGUCAUUGCUUCUUUUGCUGCGUGGUGUGUAGAACUCACAAUGCGGCAGGCAACAACAGGAAUCAGAAGCAAAGCAGCAGCUCUAUCAGACAGAGCUGGACUCAACAGACCAGCGGAGCCCAGAAGAACGAGGAGUCUCACAGGACAGCACAGGCAUCUGAGACGGAGGCGUGUUGCUUCGGCCAGAGCUUUCUCCUGGGGUGGCUAACGAGAGAGGUCUGCUCACACUGAGCACUGCUUGGAGACUUUCCUGGCAGUUUUUUUUAACACCUCUUCUUGUUCUCACUUGUUAUCUGUCAACAGCUGAAGCCAGUUGGCUUCAUGGAGGGCGUACAAAAGGGAGCAAUGAAGAGAGUGGAUUUCCAGUCACACAAGAACGCAGUGCUUUAACAAUGGCAACAGAUAUCCUCAGCUUAAUGUUUUGUCGUAAUACAUGGAAAGUAAGAAACAGUCCAUUGAUACUGAGCACUUUAAUGAAUAAAAAAAAAAAAACGAAAAAAGGUUUCAUUCCAGACUUUAAGAAUGCCAAUAUUGUGUAAUAAAAAUGGUAAACAGAAUGUUCGGAGCUUUUGCUUUGAGUCCCAAAAUGAAAAAAGAUGAAGCUUUAUUACUUUUUUUUUUUUUUAAUACAGUCUAGAGCCUUUCACUUUGGCUGCUAAUACAAAGAUGAUGGGAUAUAACACUGUGACACAGCAGCUGCCUUUUCAAUGAGGAAAGAGCCUCCAAACUUUGGUUUGCUAGUAUGACAUUCACCAAGAGACUAUUUAAUAAAAAAACAUGUAGUAUGAGGUCAGGUAUCUACAAGCUGGAUCCGGAUCCAUUAGUACAAAUGGACUUCAAAGCUUUGAUCCAUCCGUUUCAAACUGAAGGGAUCGUGUUGGCAUGUUUUGAGAGAAUAGACAUAUGCUCUGGAUGUCCAUGUUCCUCUUCAUCAAAAUCACUUCUGUGUGGUCAAGAGGAAGCAAGUGUGAGGAUGACUUGAGACGGGCAGUGGGUGCCCAUCUUCAUGCGCUGUACAUUGAGAAUGGCUAAAAAACAAAAAUGAAUUGGAA
ensembl:lncRNA